rnacentral:rRNA from 1 species
CCUACGGGUGGCAGCAGUGAGGAAUAUUGGUCAAUGGACGAGAGUCUGAACCAGCCAAGUAGCGUGAAGGAUGACUGCCCUAUGGGUUGUAAACUUCUUUUAUAUGGGAAUAAAAUGUUCCACGUGUGGGAUUUUGUAUGUAACAUAUGAAUAAGGCUCGGCUAACUCCGUGCCAGCCACCGGGGUAAUACGGAGGAUCCGAGCGUUAUCCGGGUUUUUUGGGUUUAAAGGGAGCGUAGGUGGGUUGUUAAGUCAGUUGUGAAAGUUUGCGGCUCAACCGUCAAACUGCAUUUGAAACUGGCAGUCUUGAGUACAGUAGAGGUGAGUGGAAUUCGUGGUGUAGCGGUGAAAUGCGUAGAUAUCACGAAGAACUCCGAUUGCGAAGGCAGUUCACUGGACUGCAACUGACACUGAGGCUCGAAAGUGUGGGUAUCAAACAGGAUUAGAUACCCCUGUAGUC